GAACCCUCUGGUCAAGGCAGCCUGUCUUCCGUGUCGUUAGCAGGGUUAGUUAAGGCCGACCGCUGUCUUUGUACUGCAGGAGGGACUCACCUUUCAACAGUGAAAUUUGGAAGAUGUUAGUAAAGACAAAGGAGAAGUAUCGCUUCACACUUAUACAAAUGCUGGGGCUCUGAACAGAGACCUGAGUCCUCUUCUUCGUUCUUUCCCUGCUUUAGGAAGUGGCAGGUCCCGUGGGAGGAUAGAUGGAAGCAUCUGAGGACUUGCUAAGCCAGGGAGAAGUUUGGACUUGUAGGAAGAACUCAAGCUAAAAAUGGAGCAGCCGGUCAAAGCUGUCUGUCCUUCCUUCACUUCUUCAAGAACUGUACAGAGGAAAUGAAGAGAAAGGGUCCCCAUACACCCGUGCUCCAGGAACUAACACUGCAGACAACCAUAGACCUCUGCUGUCUACAGAAAGUUCCAAAGGACACACGCUAAUGAGCUUCACUAAUCAUCCAUUAUCCGUCAUUCAUUUAUUUUCCACAGUUGCUUCCCUGAGAGAUCCAAAGCCUGUUCUCUUUACCUUGUCACUUCUCUGAAAAGGUGCAGGAGAUGCUCUCUCAAAACCAGAAUUUAACAUCACCUCCUUGACAGCCACUCAUUCUGUCAAUGUCUCCUGGCAUUGGUGUGUUUUCCUCUUGUUAAUUGGCCUUUGCACCUAGGAAAAGGUUUGAAACUAAGAGCCUACAGUGUUAAGGGAAGACAUAUAAUAGUGUAUAUGUAUUAUACACUAUCCACUGUGGCAGUUUGGAAGAAGAUUGGAAGUUGAUUUUGUGUGCUGAAUCCUGCUUUUUCGUUCAGGGUGUAAGAUAUAUCCUUACUAUGACAUAACAAGUUGAACUUCAGAUGCAAACCCUGGUUUGUCUGAUGUAAAGCCUGCAUUCUUACCCAACCCUCUUAGCUUUCAACUCCAGUAUAACCAAAUCACCGGCUAGAUGAUAAGAUAUAAAGAAGCAGAAGUUGUCAGGCUUAGACAUCAUAGUCCUUCGGUAGGUAAUACAUAUUGUCUUCAUAGUUCAGCAGUUCUAAACAAUGGGGGCUUUAGUGUAUGUUUCCUGUGGAUGGUGCAGACGUAGCCCCGAGUACGGAAAGAUCAUUGCUAGGUGCUCCAGGGACAGGUAACACCUGCUGUCCGGGGUUCAUAAGCUUGUUGUUAAAGUGUCUCUCUGAGUGACAUUUUGCUCAUUUGCAACAUUUUAGAAGUAGACACUCAUCUCUGAACAGAAACUUGGCUCGCACGUAUAAAAUAAGUACAGUUUGACCACCACAGAAACCACUCCCAAUGAAGAGACAACCUUUUUAGGCAUGAAAAGUGUUUUGAGGAGAAGAUGAUUUGAGUUAGGGAAUGAAUAGACAUCAUUAGCAACUUAUCUUUGGAAUCAAUAUAAUACAUUAUACAUUAAACAGUACAAGAGAACGUAUGAUGCCAUACACCACGGAAGGCAGAAUGUAUGAGCACUAACCCAUUUAGUCCUUAUGAAGGCUCACGUGGCAGUUACUGCUGUGACUUAAACAAUGGGAAUGGGAGCAGAGUAUAAAGCAGAGAAACUUGCCUGAGAUCUGAUAAAUGUGUUAUCAACAAGGACUAGCUUGAAACCAUCUCCAUCCACUGCAACGCUCUCAAUCCCAGCUGUCACAAUUAUCACUAAUAACACAGUGUUGUUACACAGACUUGUUGUGACACAGCCACUGAGAGGGUGUGACACAACCCAGUUCUGGACACAGUACAGUGGGAUCUUGCUUCAUCUCCUCACCAUCUGCUGAGCCCUGGGAGCUUCUCAUAUCCAAUGCUGGACAGCUACUCUUUGGAACCUAGCAGUGGAAAUGGUCCCUCUGCUCUCACUGUGUGAAGACAGACUAGGAAGAAGAAAUAACUCCAGGUCUUUAAGACUGAAAGAAAAAGUAGCCCCACUUAUUUAGAAGGAAUGGUACCCUUGGCAUGGUCUGUGGUAUAAAAGGAACCGAGAAAGCCUCACAGGAAGGACAAUGAAUGGGAUAUUUUGGGCUAAGUGGAAUGUGAUAAAAAGCGUGACACAUUUUCAGGAUGGCCCAACCCAGGUGGUUCUGGCAAUAAAGUGAAAAUAUUCUUUC
rnacentral:lncRNA from 1 species